AGAGUUUGAUCAUGGCUCAGAUUGAACGCUGGCGGCAGGCCUAACACAUGCAAGUCGAGCGGAAACGAGUUAUCUGAACCUUCGGGGAACGAUAACGGCGUCGAGCGGCGGACGGGUGAGUAAUGCCUAGGAAAUUGCCCUGAUGUGGGGGAUAACCAUUGGAAACGAUGGCUAAUACCGCAUGAUGCCUACGGGCCAAAGAGGGGGACCUUCGGGCCUCUCGCGUCAGGAUAUGCCUAGGUGGGAUUAGCUAGUUGGUGAGGUAAGGGCUCACCAAGGCGACGAUCCCUAGCUGGUCUGAGAGGAUGAUCAGCCACACUGGAACUGAGACACGGUCCAGACUCCUACGGGAGGCAGCAGUGGGGAAUAUUGCACAAUGGGCGCAAGCCUGAUGCAGCCAUGCCGCGUGUGUGAAGAAGGCCUUCGGGUUGUAAAGCACUUUCAGUCGUGAGGAAGGUGGUGUNGUUAAUAGCUGCAUUAUUUGACGUUAGCGACAGAAGAAGCACCGGCUAACUCCGUGCCAGCAGCCGCGGUAAUACGGAGGGUGCGAGCGUUAAUCGGAAUUACUGGGCGUAAAGCGCAUGCAGGUGGUUUGUUAAGUCAGAUGUGAAAGCCCGGGGCUCAACCUCGGAAUAGCAUUUGAAACUGGCAGACUAGAGUACUGUAGAGGGGGGUAGAAUUUCAGGUGUAGCGGUGAAAUGCGUAGAGAUCUGAAGGAAUACCGGUGGCGAAGGCGGCCCCCUGGACAGAUACUGACACUCAGAUGCGAAAGCGUGGGGAGCAAACAGGAUUAGAUACCCUGGUAGUCCACGCCGUAAACGAUGUCUACUUGGAGGUUGUGGCCUUGAGCCGUGGCUUUCGGAGCUAACGCGUUAAGUAGACCGCCUGGGGAGUACGGUCGCAAGAUUAAAACUCAAAUGAAUUGACGGGGGCCCGCACAAGCGGUGGAGCAUGUGGUUUAAUUCGAUGCAACGCGAAGAACCUUACCUACUCUUGACAUCCAGAGAACUUUCCAGAGAUGGAUUGGUGCCUUCGGGAACUCUGAGACAGGUGCUGCAUGGCUGUCGUCAGCUCGUGUUGUGAAAUGUUGGGUUAAGUCCCGCAACGAGCGCAACCCUUAUCCUUGUUUGCCAGCGAGUAAUGUCGGGAACUCCAGGGAGACUGCCGGUGAUAAACCGGAGGAAGGUGGGGACGACGUCAAGUCAUCAUGGCCCUUACGAGUAGGGCUACACACGUGCUACAAUGGCGCAUACAGAGGGCGGCCAACUUGCGAAAGUGAGCGAAUCCCAAAAAGUGCGUCGUAGUCCGGAUUGGAGUCUGCAACUCGACUCCAUGAAGUCGGAAUCGCUAGUAAUCGUGGAUCAGAAUGCCACGGUGAAUACGUUCCCGGGCCUUGUACACACCGCCCGUCACACCAUGGGAGUGGGCUGCAAAAGAAGUAGGUAGUUUAACCUUCGGGGGGACGCUUACCACUUUGUGGUUCAUGACUGGGGUGAAGUCGUAACAAGGUAGCGCUAGGGGAACCUGCGGCUGGAUCACCUCCUU
rnacentral:rRNA from 1 species